UCGAGGAUCAUUCGCAAUGAGCGAAAGCUUGACGAUGCGACGCUGUGUGAACGAUGAAGGCCUUCGGGUUGUAAAGUUCUUUCGCUUGGGAACAAGAGAGUUUAGUGAAUAACUAGGCGAUUUGAGGGUACCAGGUAAAGAAGCACCGGCUAACUCCGUGCCAGCAGCUGCGGUAAUACGGAGGGUGCAAGCAUUAAUCGGAAUUAUUGGGCGUAAAGGGCGCGUAGGCGGACUUGUAAGUUAGAUGUGAAAUACCGGAGCUCAACUUCGGUGCUGCAUUUAAAACUACAAGACUUGAGGGUUGACGGAGAAAAUGGAAUUCCACGUGUAGCGGUGAAAUGCGUAGAUAUGUGGAAGAACACCUGUGGCGAAAGCGAUUUUCUAGUUAAUACCUGACGCUGAGGCGCGAGAGCAAGGGGAGCAAACAGGAUUAGAUACCCCUGUAGUCC
rnacentral:rRNA from 1 species